ensembl:lncRNA
CAAGCGUCUAUGACAAAUAAGGACAGGUCAUUUCACCGAGCAGCCAUUUCGAACACAGGUUGUAAAACAGUGAUCACUAAGGUCAUUACAGAAAACACCAGACUGAUACAUAUCAGGAUUAUUUGUGAGGAUAACAUAAAGGAGAGUAGCCUUUUCUGGGUGUUUGGAGUCAUACCUUGUGGGAUUGGUAAUAAUCUGAGAAUGAUUUAGGGAGUCCCAUUACUUUAGGACUUGGUCAGGUGGUUUAUUAAGUAUGUCCCAGUUUAGGUCACCUGGCAGGACAAAUUCAGACUUAGUGUAAGGGGCCAGGAGAAAGCUUAGGGCAGGUAGGGUACAGGAGAGAGCUUAGGGCAGGGAGGGUACAGGAGAGAGCUUAGGGCAGGUAGGGUACAGGAGAGAGUUAGGGCAGGGAGGGGCCAGGAGAGAGCUUAGGGCAGGUAUGGUACAGGAGAGAGCUUAGGGCAGGUAUGGUACAGGAGAGAGC